rnacentral:rRNA from 1 species
CCCUUAGAUGUUCUGGGCUGCACGCGCGCUACACUGAUGCGCUCAACGAGUUUAUGACCUUGCCCGGAAGGGUUGGGUAAUCUUUUCAAAACGCAUCGUGGUGGGGAUAGAUUAUUGCAAUUAUUAAUCUUCAACGAGGAAUUCCUAGUAAGCGUGAGUCAUCAGCUCGUGCUGAUUACGUCCCUGCCCUUUGUACACACCGCCCGUCGCUCCUACCGAUUGAGCGAUCCGGUGAAUAAUUCGGACUGCGGCAAUGUUCAGCUCCUGAAUGUUGCUGCGGAAAGUUUAGUGAACCUUAUCACUUAGAGGAAGGAGAAGUCGUAACA